UCUACAUGCUCUGUGCUGCACCGCCUGAGGUAGGACACUUGGUCCUGAAACGAAACCUAAACUGCCUUUAAUUAGGAAGUUUAGGUCUUAAGGUUUCAAUCUAACGAGAAAAAGAAAAGCCUAACAAAACCUUGAUUGCACCUUUUGAUGUAUAUCAUUUUUGUUUUCAAACUUAAAAAAAAAAAAUGGAAAUAAUUUAAUUUUGUUUCCAAGUUUGGAGACACGUGAUGCAUCCCAGAAGAGGCCUUUAUGCAAUAGAGCCAAUUCAGUUAAAGGGCUGAGGUCACCACCAUUUGCUAGCACCUUUGCAAAUUGCAAUUGAUGGAGAGUAAGACCCUCACUUCUAACCCAUGUUUUACAUUAGGAAAUGAAAGAUCUCAUAAGGUCCUUUCUUUCCUAUUGUACUUUUCAAAAUGGAGCACACUCCAAUGGUAUAUGAGUAGGUAGCCAAGCCAUUAACAUAUGAAGCCUUAAUUUCCUAAGAGAUCGACUGCUUGUUCUGUUUCAGGAUGUAAAGAAAUUCAAAGUGGCAGACCCCAGAUCAUUUCAUUAUCUAAACCAGACAAACUGUUACGAAGUAGCAAAUGUGAAUGAUGCCAGGGAGUAUUUGGAGACAAGAAAUGCCAUGGAUGUCGUGGGAAUCAGCCCGGAAGAACAGGUAAAAUGUAAAGAUGUACAAGUACAGUAAUUUGGAAGUAAUUUGGUCAGAUUGGUCAAUUGGGUUCAAAUCAAAAUAACAUUUUUUUAACCAUUACUGCACGAAUCUUAUUGGUUUUUUAUUUUUUAUUUUCUUUUUAAUCAUUUUCAGGAUGCAAUAUUCCGAGUUGUGGCGGCAAUUCUGCACCUUGGCAAUGUAGAAUUUGCAAAAGGAAAGGAAAUUGAUUCUUCUGCUCCAAAAGAUGAUAAAGCAAUCUACCAUCUUCAAACUGUUGCAGAGCUCUUGAUGUAUGAACUUGAGCUCUUCACAUUACAAAUUAUUUGUUUUUCUUUUCCUUUUAGUUUUAUUUAUAUUUAUAAAGUAAUAAACACAAUUGCUGCAUUUCAUAACUUAUUGUUUUUAUGUAAGCAAAGUUCGCCCUAGACACAAAGUGGGCCUAUUCUAUAAUAUAGGCCGGAUGGCCCAGAUUUAACAAUAUGCAUGCAUGUAUGUAUUUCUUACCUUGUUAUAUUUUGACUUUGAGAGGACACAAUGUUUAUUUCAGGUGUGAUGUAAAUGCCCUAGAGGAUUCUCUCUGCAAGAGAGUAAUUGUAACACGAGAUGGGAACAUAACGAAACUUCUCGACCCCGAAGCAGCUGCUUUGAACCGUGAUGCAUUAGCAAAGACUAUCUACUCCAGGCUAUUCGACUGGUGAGAAACUGACGGUCUAUCGCUCAAGAAAUGGAUUACUAUCAGGAUCUUCCCAUCAAAAACCAUGGGCUAAUGGUUUAAAUAGAAUAAUAGUAAUAACAAUAAUAACAAUUUCAAAAAUCCCAUAGAGUUUAGUCUAGCACUAAGUCCUAAAUGCAUCUGACACAACUAAACUAGUGUACCCAUGAAUCUGAAAUGAGACAAGAUUUAGCUUUGUGCGCUUGCAUGGAAUUUAGAUUUUUAGAGAAGAAGAAAGAAAGGAAAAAAAUAAUAAUAUUUAAAUUCAGUUAACAUACCACCCAAUGUGUUGAAUGGCAGGAUAGUGGACAAAAUCAACAUCUCUAUCGGACAGGACCCUAAUGCAGCCAGCUUGAUAGGAGUUCUCGAUAUCUAUGGCUUUGAGAGUUUCAAAAUUAACAGGUAACCUCUACCGUUGGUGAUAUUACUUAGAAUACAUCAAAACCUACAAAGCAUGCAUACAUAUGCAUCUCAAGAGUUACACCCACCAGCUAGACUGGUCACUAACUAACAUGUGUGGCAGCUUUGAGCAGCUCUGCAUCAACCUAACAAAUGAAAAGCUGCAACAGCAUUUCAACCAGGUAUGCAUGAAAACCACAGUACACCAAUUGAUAAUUCUGACAUAAACAAGAAUGAAAAUGAUAUCAGGGUAAACAAAAAUGGCACAAAAGUUGACUAAUACACACAAAAAAAAUGAAAUACUAACAUGAAAUGCAUCCUCCACAGCAUGUAUUUAAGAUGGAACAGGAGGAGUACACGAGAGAAGAGAUCAACUGGAGCUACGUUGAGUUCAUAGAUAAUCAGGAUGUAUUGGAUCUUAUAGAGAAGGUAUUUUGUUGUGAUAUGCUGAAUUCUUUCAAAAUCAUUUUAACAAUUCUUGGUUGAUUUUUCUGCGCAAGCAUAUAAUUGUUGGAAGAGAGAAAAAGAGAGAGGGAGAGAUUACUACACAUCACUGAUGAUUUAUAUGUGCUUGCAGAAACCAGGAGGAAUAAUCGCUCUUCUUGAUGAAGCCUGGUAUGCUUUCUACCCAGUAAACUUUUUUUUAACAAAGAAAAUGAAAGUACUUCAGCUUGCACACUGCAUAUAUGCCUAGAAACAUCAACUUCGAUAUUAGUAUGUUAUGAGAUGAUCGACCUACUCUUUGCAGUAUGUUCCCAAAAUCCACUCAUGAAACAUUUGCACAAAAGAUGUACCAAACAUAUAAAGGCCACAAGCGAUUCAGCAAACCUAAACUUGCCCGUACAGAUUUCACUAUCAACCAUUAUGCUGGUGAUGUAAGUGGCAUUCUUAACCAGAGGAUCAAAGCUCUCUGAAGGCUUAAGCUUAACAAUAAUUACAACAACAAUAAAGUAACUUAGUACUAGCUUCCUUGUCAAUAGGUGACUUAUCAGGCAGAUCAAUUUCUUGACAAAAACAAGGAUUAUGUUGUAGCCGAGCAUCAGGCAUUGUUGAAUGCAUCUACAUGUCCGUUUGUUGCCAACCUCUUUCCUCCAUCACCAGAGGAAUCUUCAAAAUCAUCCAAAUUCUCAUCUAUUGGGACUCGCUUCAAGGUAGAUCCAGAAGCAUAAUCUUCUUUUUUUUCCGUUAAAGUUUUGUCUAACUUUACUCACCUGAAAAUUAUGCAGCAACAACUGCAAGCUCUUAUGGAGACCUUGAGUACAACAGAACCACACUAUAUCAGAUGUGUGAAACCAAACACUGUCCUAAAGCCAGGCAUUUUUGAAAAUUUUAAUGUACUAAACCAGCUAAGAUGUGGGGUGAGUGUUCUCAUAUCUGAUAUUAGCAUUUUUAUCUAUGCUAUGAAUUUAUAGAUAUGAUAUGAGGGUUGUUGAUAUCAGGGAGUUCUGGAGGCAAUCAGAAUAAGUUGUGCAGGUUAUCCUACAAAGAGAACUUUCGAUGAGUUUCUUGACCGUUUUGGAAUGCUUGCUCCAGAUUUACCAGAUGGGUAUAUCUCAUGUUUCUGUUUUUCAUAACUACCAUCAAAACUGAUAUCCUGAAUAAUAGAAGAUUAUUAGGCUUGAAAAGCUGAAAGGCAAAAAAUUCUUGAGACUUUCCAUAUAUGAAUCCUAAGGUUAAACUGUAUGCUGAUACACUUACCUUUUAAUAUUCUCCAGUUUGGAUGAGAAGACAGCAUGUGUGGCCAUUUGUGACAGAAUGGGCUUGCAGGGCUACCAGGUUCGUCAGCAAGAAAAGGAAGAUUAUACGAAAGGAAUUUCACUCAUUUGAAGUAAAUUAUCAAAACAAAAAAAAAGCUUUUUCUUGAGGUAGGCAGCUUGGUUUGCAUGAGGGACAAACUUAAGGUUUGGACACCUUGACCUGCCUCAUAAAAGCAAGGUGACAUACCUCUAGACAAAGGUCAUAUGCAAAAUCAAAACCAGAUGCCCAAAAACUAGUUAAUCUUACCAAAUAAAAACCAAUAAAAAAUAUAAUAGAAUAAUUGCGCAUGCAGAGAGAGAGGAGAGGAGAGAGAUAGAAGGGCUAUAAUGAAUCAUCUCAGCAACCUUUAGUAGUGAAAAUGUUGUGGUGAACUAGCAACAAAGUGAUGGAAAGUUAAUCAAGUUGCAAAACUUGAAAAAAAUCUUCUGUCAUCAGUAGAACAUCUAUGAAUCUUCUACCAAUCCUUAAAUUUGCUCUUAUGGUAUUCCAGAUAGGAAAAACAAAGGUGUUUCUAAGAGCAGGGCAGAUGGCCGAACUAGAUGCUCGAAGAAUUGAAGUAUUAGCAAAUGCCGCACGGCUCAUCCAACGCCAAAUACGGACACAUCUCACUCAAAAAGAAUUCAUUGCCUUACGCAGAGCCACAAUUCAUUUGCAAAAAAUAUGGAGAGGUAUAUCCCAUCAUUCAAUAUGUAUUUGUAUGUCCCUUUUUCUAGUCAAUUUGGAUGGAAAUACUCUCGUAAUUCAUCCAUACGAACUUUUUUUUUCCCUUUUGGAUACUGCAGCACAGCUUGCUCGUAAACUUUAUGAACUUAUGAGAAGGGAAGCUGCUUCACUACGCAUACAGAAACAUGCACGCACUCAUAAAGCCAGAAAGGAAUAUACAGAACUACGUGCAUCUGCUGUAGUUAUUCAAACAGGAUUGCGUGCCAUGGCAGCCCAUAAUGAAUAUCGGUUCAGAAGAAGAACCAAGGCUGCUAUAAUUGUUCAGGUACAAUAAGAACAGAAACAGGCCUACUUGGAUUUCUAAUUGCGAACUACAUAUUAAGUGAAUGGAGAAUUUACUGUGUCCAAUAAACUAAAGAAACCCAUAGUCCACUCGAAAAAACGAUGAACGGUGGUGGAAAGAAUGGGAACCACUUUGAUUCUUACUCUGUCCACUGCCUCCAUUAUAUGUUUAAUAUAAUCCAUUGGGCUAUCAUGUACUCUUCACAAGCAAAACUGCCUAUGUUGCAUGCUUCAAUAUGCUGAAAGUAAUUCACAACAAACUGUUUUUUCCUUUCAGACUCGAUGGCGAAGAUUCCAAGCUCUUUCAGCUUAUAAGAGGCAAAAGAAAACUACCCUCACUCUUCAAUGCCUUUGGAGAGGAAGAGUGGCAAGAAAAGAGCUGCGGAAACUCAGAAUGGUGAGCAGAAGUUCUAUCACCAAGUCCUGAAAUCCAACUUAUGGGUCAACAUAUAAUAUACGAACUUGUUGUUUCCAACUGCUUUCAUGGAAAACCAGGGAAACAUACAUCCAAGAGAACAGACUGGUCACUUGAGUGUUUACAUUGAACAAUAUAAGAUACUUGCACGAGCAAUAAACAAAUCAUAUAAAACCAGAAAAUAAUGCAGAAAGCCCAAUAAUCUGAAGUUCUAAAAGAGAAAAUGAAAUGAAACAAAGAAAUAUCAAAGUGAGGAUUUAUAAUCAUGCUAAAAGAAUUAUAUUUGAUACUAUCUCACUACUUUCAAGAAAUAUCUGGAGGAAAAAAAUAUAUCAUACUAAUAAAAUAAGAUGACCAAAGACGUGGGGCAUAAUCAUUUUUAGAGGUAAAAGGUAAAAGAACCAAUAAGUAUAUGCUACUGGUUAGUAUACAUUUAUUAUAUUGUUUUGCAAGAAAAUUGAAGAACUUUAGCUAUCAAGGACAACUGGAUUUGGACAUGAAAGUUAUGGUACCGGCAAUUUACUGCUGCUUGGAUAUCAACAUGACUAAUGAUGCUUCAUAUGUGCAGGCUGCCAGGGAAACAGGAGCACUCAAAGAAGCAAAGGACAAGCUGGAGAAGCGUGUUGAGGAGCUCACAUGGCGGUUGGACAUUGAAAAGCAUAUGAGGGUACUCUUUCAUUCUCAGCAAAUUAACUAAUACAUAAUAUUAUUCCAAACCCACCAAUCCAUUUCAGCUGCAGUUUUUGGGAGGAAUAAUCCUUAUGAACUUUCACAGAUUGAUCUUGAAGAAGCGAAAGCACAAGAGAUUGCAAAGCUUCAAUCUGCUUUGCAAGAAAUGCAAGAGCGAUUGGAUGAGGCCAAUUCCAUGAUCAUAAAAGAAAUGGAAGCAGCAAAACUAGCAAUUGCCCAGGCACCCCCAGUUAUAAAAGAGGUGCCAGUUGUGGAUAAUUCCAAGAUAGACUUGCUGACCCACCAGAAUGAGGAGCUAAAGGUAACAUGUUUGAUUUGCGUAAAAUAGGGGAUAUGGGCUUUGGUCGCAUGCCAUGUCCAUCAGAGAAAGUGGUGCACAAUUGGAAAGAAUAGAAACCAAUACUUUCAGAAUAAUCCCAUUUUUCUCUGAGCAUCGGCCUUCUCAUCUUUAUUUAUUUACUCUUGAAGUGGGUCUUCUUGUCUUUAUUUCAAUCACAUAAUGAAUGCCUUUUCAGUACAUAAAAUCUGGCAUACUUUUUACUAGUAUCCUGUGAGCCACUGUAAUGCAUUGUUCUGCUUUUCCAUUUACAGAAGUAUAAUCUAGUUCUUUCAGCAAUGAUUGGGACUUAAAUAUGUUGAUCAUUUUAGGUUGAGCUAAAUGAAGUGAAAAAGAAAAAUGAGGAUAUUGAGAAAAGAUAUUCUGAAAUACAAGAACAGAGUGAAGAAAGUCUACAAGUUGCAGCAGAAGCACAGUCAAGAGUUCAUGAGCUUGAAGAGUCUAUACAAAGGUACCAGACAACAUCACUUAUACGUAGACCUUAAACAGAAGUUUUCGGUGUGAAGAUGUCCAACUUGGAGUGUUCACAUCACAAAUAUACACAGAUCACAUGCCCACGAAUUCACAUACACAAGUACAGAUAUGCACACAUUUCAAAUCACAAAUCCAUACAUGAAUUCUCAGUCUGACAAAAGAAUCUUUCCGAUAUGGUCUCCCAGGCUAGAAGCAAACUUGUCCAACUUGGAAACAGAGAACCAGGUUCUGCGUCAGCAAGCUCUGGAAGCAUCAAAAAAUGAUGAUCUCUCUGAGGAAAACAAAAUGUCAGAUUCUAAAACCUUGCCAUGCAAAAUGACAUUAGAUCUUUUAGUUUGCAUAACAAAGACUGCACUCUGAUCCCCGACUGCACUCUGAUCCCCAAAAAGUAGCUUAUGUGCAUGUUUAUCUGCAUAAACAAGUCCAGAAAGAUAGAAUAUCUGUAAUAAGGUCACCAUUGUUUUCGUUCUACGGGCCUUUGUCAGUUUUUCUUUCUUUCUUUUUUUUUGGAAGUUGCUAAGAGCAUUCAUUUUUAAUACAGACUCAAAGACAAGAUCUCGAAAUUAGAGUCAGAGAAUCAGAUGCUCCGCGAUCAGACUGCAGCAUUACCAAUGACAGUUCCUACUAAACAGUUAGAGCCCCCACUUACUCAGGUUGCUCUAGUUACCCAACGUACCAGUCUAAGAUAAUCAUGACAUGAUUUACUCUUCUUUUGACAAGUAAAGAAUCAUGGGAAUCAAUCAAGACUAUUGUGCAUAGAUAAUUAGUUAUUUGAUUUCCUUUUUGGAUGAAGGUGGUGCAAAGUCUGGAAAAUGGACAUGAAGUCAUUGAGGAUCACAAGGUAGAAAAAGUAAGUUGGCCAUCCUCUGGUACAAGUAGUUUAUGUACAACGCAAAAAACAAAAAAAGAAUAAAAAAAAGGAAUGACUAAAAUAACACUAACUGUGAAAAAUGGUCUAAAAUUAUUUGUACAUGCAGGAAGUGUUGCCUCCCGUGCCCCCACUUAACAAACAGAAAUCACUGACUGACAGGCAGCAAGUAUGUGCUUUCAGGCAACAGGCUUCGUUUUUUCUUUCUUCAUAUAUUUCUCGCAGAUAAUGGUUCAGUAACUAGGCAUCGUAAAUGAAAGGACCGAUAUAAUGGGCACUUACAUACAACAUUUGUUAAAUGUCUAUACUCACUAUCUCUAUAUCUGAUCAGGAAAACCAUGAUACUCUUAUCAAAUGCCUAAUGGAGGAUAAGAGAUUUGACAAGAACAGGCCUGUCGCAGCAUGCAUCGUCUAUAAAUCACUGCUUCAGUGGAGAUCAUUUGAAGCAGACAAGACCAACAUCUUCGAUCGCAUCAUUCACGCAAUCAGGUCAUCUGUUGAGGUGAUGCAUCAUGCUGUAUAUUUACCCAUGACUAGAAGUACAAGAAAAUUUUGCUUGCUUUAAUUAACAAACUGAGUACGAGAGAAAAUAAAAAAAUGGUGAUCCAAAAUCUGAACCGUUGUUUACUGGUCUUAUAUUUUUUGAAAUGAUAUAGAUAUUUCACAACCAAUAUUUUCAAUUAUGGUUUUCUCACCAUUCCAUAAAAGCUCUGAUUUGACCAGCAGAGCCAUGCAAGAAACUAAACUGGGAAUAUGGCUUUCAAGACAAUCCAUGGUAUUGAUUGACUUUUGGGUAUGCCUUGUAGAAUCAAGAUAAUGUUGUAGAUCUUGCUUAUUGGCUUUCAACCACAUCCACGCUUCUGUUCCUUCUGCAAAAUACCCUCAAGGCCAGCAAUACGCCCAACAUGGCUUCACAGAGGGGUCGUAUUUCAUCUCUGACCUUAUUUGGCAGGAUGGCACAAGUAAGUCACUAAUCCUUCUUUUGCAUUCUUUUUGGUAAUUGGCAUGUGAGAGUCACUGGCUCUAUGACUAUUAUCUACUUGGCCCAUACUUUUCUUGCACAAUGUAGUGCACUAUACCGGACCUUCCUUACUGCAGCCUACUCACCAAAAGAAAAGAACAAAAAGAUGAAUGAAUGAACAUGUCUAUGAACUCUUGAAAUUUGAUCAGUCAAAAAAAAAUCUCUUGAUAAUAAUAAUAAAAAAUAAAAAUCUCACGUUUGAACUUUUACGAAGUAGAAUUAGAUUGUUUCAUAAAACAGCCAAUAAUUGGAGAGAACAAACAAUUCACAAUGUAUGAACGUUUUGCAUUGCAGGGUUUCCGAUCUUCACAAACAGCUCUGGGAAUUUCAAGUGGGUACAGUGGAAUGAUAGGGAAGCCAGAUGUGUCAUCCAGAGUGGAAGCCAAGUAUCCUGCUCUCUUGUUCAAGCAGCAACUCACAGCAUACGUCGAGAAAAUCUAUGGGAUGAUCCGAGAUACUUUGAAAAAAGAGAUUACCCCAUUUUUGAAUAUGUGCAUACAGGUACAUAUCUAGGAGAAGAAACAACAAAUACAGAACCAUUACUUGCAUUACAAUUGCCCUGUGAACCAAUUUACAACUGAUGUAAAUAUGCAUAAUUUACAGGCACCAAGAUCUACGCGGGCUAGAACAAUAAGGGGGUCAUCCAGAAGUAUCCAGGCAAGCAUCGCAGCAAAACAAGCAUCAAGCAUACACUGGCAAAGCAUCGUGAAGAGCAUGAACAAUACGUUGGACAUAAUGCAUGAAAACCAUGUAAGUCAUGCAUCAAUUAUGCCAGCAAGUAUGAAAAUUCAUAACAAAGAUCCCAACUCCUCACCCCCUUUUCUUCCAUUCUCCUUUCCCAACCCGACUAAAGGAAACAGUAUAAUAUAGGUUGUCCCACCUUCCUAAAAGGACAAUAGAAUAAUUACAUUGUUUGAGCCUGAUGUUUUGAAUCCAUGAACUGCAGGUGCCUUCCAUGAUUGUACGAAAGAUGUACAGCCAGAUAUUGGGGUACAUAAAUGUGCAGCUUUUCAACAGGUAUACAUACUCAGUCCAGUUAGGCAUGUUUUUUAAUGAAUGCCUGGGGAUCUUUGUCAAAAAGCAUGGAUAUGCAUGUCAACAUCUAACAUGGAUACAAAUAUUAGAAAUGCCAACCCCAAACUUGGCCUUUCAAGGAUGACACAUAUAUAUAUCAUUUAAAGGAAGGUAGGUGGGAUUUUCAGUGAGAUUAAGUACUUUCAUGAUAGCAUUUAUGCAAAGAAAAGGCCAGCCAUGAUUGUCUAAUUUCCUGCAAUGUAGUGUCCCUGAUGUGCUAGCACAUGCAAAAUCCAAAAAUGAAAUUUAUAAAUAAACAACUGUAGUUUUAAAGCAUUUCUAGAAUGCUAAGAUAAUUAAGUCAUUUUACACAACAUUAUCAAUUAAGUUCAUUUAACAAAACGCUUUUCCUCUCACUUAGAUCAUCAUCAUCAUUAGAGCCUUAUCCCAACUAUUUGGUGUUGGCUCCUCCUCUCGCUUAGAUAAAGACCAGAAAAAAAACUUGCCCUUGAGAAAUCCAAGAGUGAGAACAGGGACGAAUCCAAGAAUGAGAACAAUGGAAAGGCUACAAUAGGAGAAUAGGAACUCCCCACAAUAAAAAUUAAGAUUCCACACAAUAGAUAACAAGUGAAUAAAAUUCUAAAACAACUAGCCUAUUUGAAAGGAUUAAGGCUACAGAACCCAGAAAGUACUAAAAGCCAUACAGGAAAGGAAUUAAAACUGGAAAUUGUGGGCCGAAUAUUAUCUUUCUUUCACAGCACAGCUGGCUAAAAUUAAGGCCUGAUUCCACAUAUUUAGCAUUCAAAAGCAUCUGUUCAUUUUUUUUGUUUUGGCCAUAUAAAUGUACCAAAGUCCAAAACAAAUCCUUCAAAAAUUUAUGUAACUUGCUAAAUGUCUUUCUUUAAUUUGCAGCUUACUUCUGCGCCGUGAGUGCUGCUCUUUUAGUAACGGAGAAUAUGUCAAAGCAGGAUUGCUAGAACUCGAACAAUGGUGCUCAAAGGCAACAGAAGAAGUAUGACGAGAAUCAGAACAACUUAUCUCUCCAUGAAAGGCUCCUCUAGUCUAUCAGCAAAUAAUAAUACUAAUAAUAAUAAUAGUGAUGGUGACCGUGGUGGUGGUGUCAUCAUCUUUGUCACAUUAGUAAUAGUAGAAGUAGUAGUAACAGUAGGAGUAGCAGUACUAGUAGUGCUAGUAAUAAUAAAUAACUAAAUAAAAUUAAUAAAUAAACACAAGUCUAUUCUCUUCUAACUCUCACAUUCUUAAUUGCAGUUUGUUGGCACGUCCUGGGAUGAACUUCAGCACAUCCGUCAGGCUGUAGGAUUUCUGGUAUGUAGGGUUAAAUUCCCAACAAAGUUAUCCCAGAAUAACAGAGAGAGAGAGAGAGAAACCAGCACAACGCACUGCUUGCAAUUUUGGAAAAUCUGAAUUUAUGACAAAACACUUUACUUUUCCACCCAAUAUUGAAUAUUCAUAACGUGCUCCAAGAGCAGCCAUGUUGAAUACAUAUCAGUGAAGAUUAGAUGACUUUUGUGCAGGUUGCACAUCAAAAGCCUCAGAAAUCACUGGACGAGAUCGCAAAAGAACUCUACCCAGUAAGUAAAAAUAAAAAUACAGAAAUAAACACAAAUUAGUGAAAUUCAAUUUAUACAUUCUAUGGAUUUCUCAGUUCAUUUACUAAAUUUCAAAAAUAAAAAUUGUGCGUUUGUUGCAGGUGUUGAGCAUACCACAAAUUUAUCGAAUAGGUACCAUGUUCUGGGAUGACAAAUACGGCACACAGGGUCUAUCUCCUGAAGUAAGAUUCAAUUAAAACUCACAAAUCCCACCACAAGAAUAAACCGAAUUCUCGGAACCUAAUGUAGAUUUUGCAAAUUUUCAGCAAGAUUUUGAGCUGUUUUUGCACCAAACUAGAAAAAACUCACAAACGGAAAACCCUAAUUUCUCUAUCUGAAACCCAUUUUCCAGGUUAUAAGCAAGAUGAGAGCUCUAAUGGCAGAAGAAUCAGCAAGCAUGCCCAGUGAUUCAUUCCUACUGGAUGAUGAUUCAAGGUAAAGUUAACAAAAACAGUAAAAUCGUAACAUCCCACAAAUAAUCAACUAAGAAUAGAAAAAAGCCCUAUCGAUCUAAGGAAAAAAAUCCCUGAAAUUCACAAUAUUUCUCAUUAGGUUCAUCUUUUUUAAAUGAAUGGAAAUGCAGCAUACCAUUUUCGCUGGAAGACAUAUCUCGAUCUGUAUUGGACAUAAGCUUAUCAGAGGUGGAGCCCCCGCCAUUGCUGCGCCACAACUCCGCGUUUCACUU
rnacentral:lncRNA from 1 species